rnacentral:lncRNA from 1 species
ACAUUUUUCCUAAAGUAACUAAGAUUGGGAAUUUAAUAAAACAUUUAGUUACUUUAUAAUAUUCAUCAUACUUUGAAUGAGAAUUAAUAAGUCCUUGUCUUACCCGUUCGGCUAACGACCCUCCACCGAUCAAGCAAGCGGUGGGUGAGAGUGGACACCCAUUAAGUCACCAUUUUAUAGGCAACAACCUUAUACCCACCUUAUAGACCGGCUUCGUGAAUGAGGCGUACUAGCGGUAAGACGACUUUGUUCUUAUACAUAUAUAUAUAAUUAUUAAAUCAUAAUAAUAUAAGUAUAAGGGUUGAAUUUUAACUUUUAAAAUUCUAGGGGUUGGAACUAAAGUUUUAACUUAACUUUACUUGUUCCAAAACUUGAGGGCAAGUUUUGUAAACUUUCAAAACUUUUCAUUUCUUGUAACUUAUGAGUUUAAUAGAGUAAUAAAAUGAGGACUUUUCAUUUUUCUAACUCUUGUGUUCUUUUAAUGGUUUUUUAAUCCAAGAGACUUUUGGUUUUCCAUAACUUGAGGACAAGUUAUGGACUCCAUUAAAACACAUUAUGAUCAAGAAUUAAACUACCACAUAGGUUACAAAUAAUUCCUAUGAUCAUCUAAACUUCAUAAGAACAAGAACAUGAAUAUGAACACUUUCAAGAAUCAAAAUCACAUUAAACUUUGUAAUUUUGAUAACUAGUUGUUGUAAAUGAAUUAGCAAAAACAUUACACCAGCUAAAACAAGUUUUCAAGUACCAAAACAGUUUAGGGUAAUGUUUCCAAUCCAUUUCCAGCAACUAAAGUCGAAAAUCUGCACUCUGUCGACCCUACUCGCCGAGUUGCAUGAACCUACUCGCCGAGUAGGUUGAAGAUACACAUGAACUCGCCAAGUCCCCCCCCAUGGACUCGCCGAGUCCAUUCGUCAGACAGCAAGUUUUAGACUUUUUUCAACUUUAAAUUACAAGUAUCACACAAACAGUCCUAGGCUCUGAUACCACUAAUGGGUUUUGAGCAUUCUAACACUUCCUAAGUGUACAUGCAACCCUAAUAAACCAUGGAUCUAUGUUUGUCUAAGAUACAUGCAAAUAAUUAUUUUUCCAAGGCUUAUAUCCUAACUAGCAUGGCAUGGGGAACUUGAAUCAAAUAAAGCUAGUAGAAACACUUACCUUGUAGUUGUAGUUGAUUCCUUGGAGUUUUAGAGCCUAGCACCAAUAAUGUGGAUGCCUCAAAUGAAAGUCACAAAUCACCACAAACUUGGAACUUUGAGAGAAUAGUCACACUUCUCUUGAAAUCGGCCCUCACCUCAACAUGUGUCAACUAGUGUUCACUAGCUUGAUUUCAAGAGCCAAAGCCUCCUUUAUAUAGUGUGGUGGAUUAGGGUUACAUCCAUGUAAACCCUAAUACCCAUGUCUCUUCAUUUCCAUGAGAUCCAUGGGUUAAAGCUCCAUGGAGUAUCCAUGGACUUCUCCAUCCAAGCCUAGCCCAUUCCAAAUAAGCAUAAGCCCACACUAUAUAAAUAUAGAAGCCCAUAUUUAAUUAGUAAUAUCUUUGAUCACUAAAUUAAUCCUAGAUUAAUUAUAGAUCACUACUAAUUAAAUAAUAUGAUCUUAUAUUAAUAUAUUAGAACUUAUAAUAUAUUAAUAAAUCAUAACUUGUACUAUUCUCAAAUAUUAUCCAUAAAUUGUUCGGGUGAAGUGCAACCCAAAUGGACCAUGCCGGGUCGGGUCAAGUACAUACCAAAUAUAGUUAUGGGCUUAGACACUAUAUCCAACAGUCUCCCACUUGGAUAAGUCUAGUAACUAUAUUUGCAAGUAUAACUUCAGGAACCGAUCAGCAAUCGUAGCUCUUUAAACUCUGUUGAACUAGAACGCGCCAUUUAGAUAAGUGAUCAUAUAAUCCUCUGUUCUAGAUAUCAGCCGGACAAAUACAUGGANAUACGUUCAUAUAUCCCUAGUAAGCUAUUAUAGGUAUAGUUUGGGCUUAUAUAUGAUUUGGUGAUAAAUAUAGAUUUCGACCUAGCGAUUCGUUGCAGAAGUCACCCUUAGUUCCAAAUGUAGAAUAUGGACUACCAAUCAUAUUGUUACUUACUUACAGCGGGUCUCGUGAGAAGACUACUUACUUACUAAGAUUUGACUAACCAUUCCGGCACCCAACUGUUAGCAACAGAGGUAAUGAACAUCUACGGAUGCCUACGGUUAUUACUUAUAUUAGGAGUACCUCUACGGGACUAACGAAUCCUACACCCUGCUGUUGGAUACAAAGGAUAAUGAACAUCUACGGAUGCCUAUGGUUAAUACUUAUAUUAGGAGUACCUUUACGGGACUAACCAUUCCUACACCCUGUUGUUGGAUACGGAGGAUUAGGAACAUCUAUGGAUGCCUACGGUUAAUACUUAUAUUAGGGUACCUUUACGAGACUAACCAUUCCUACACCCUGCUGUUGGAUACAAAGGAUAAUGAACAUCUACGGAUGCCUACGGUUAAUACUUAUAUUAGGGUACGUUUACGGGACGAAACAUUCCUACAACCUGAUGUUAGCUACAGAGGAUAAUGAUCAUCUACGAACGUUCAAGGUUAAUACUUUUUUGGCAGUCACGAUGUCGAGUUGAUCCUAAUACAAAUGGAUAACACUUACAUGGCUAUAUUUUUCCUAUUACUUUUAUUUUGUGAUACAUUCACAUAAACGAUGAGGUAGACUAUGUACUGUUGGUAGUAGUCAAAAAGGGGAAAAACCAUCUUUGUUACUUUCAAAACAUUCGGGUCUUAGUAGAAGGCUACUCUUUAUACUAAUAGAAAUCAUAGGGAUUUGCUAGGGUAUUCAAAUGCUUUCAAACUAUUUCCAAACAGUUCAUACUUAUACAAACUUUGUCCAAAUGUUCACACGUCUUUACUUUCCAGUUUUACAAAUCAAGGACACAUUAAUACUUAUGAAUUCACCAACUUUUUGGCUGAUACUCGCUUUCAAAAUAACUUGUAUUCUCAGGUCACAAAUAGACAGGUACGACGACCAGGUUUGUGAAGACGGAGCAGUCCAGACUCGUCUUAUAUUCUGAUUAUUCGUUUUAUUGUUGUAUAUUAUGAAAGAUCACACUUGUAAUUAAAAUUAUAAGAUUAAUGCAAUGGAUGAUGUUGUUUCUUGUUUACUACUUUACAUUGUUGUGAUACAUUACAUGACGUCCUCCGCCCCAGAACGUUUCCGCCGUUCUCGGUUUUGGGGUGUGAUAUUAAGUAAUAUACAACUUAUUAGGGCUAGAAUCUCUUACAAGUUGAAGAUCUUGAAGAAUUGUUGGAUGAUACUUGAGAGAGUUUUGAGAUUUGGAUCUUGAUUUUGCGAAAAAUGGUAAAUAAUGACUAAGUGUCAUAUAUUUACCCCCAAUUUAGGGUUUAUGGCCGUAAACACCUUUGUUUAGGUCGUAAAAUCCAAACUCUUGGAGCUUUGGGACUUUAUUGUUGCACAAUAUACCCUAGAGCAUCCUCUCUCCUGGUAUCUCCCGAUGUACUAACUUAAAAAGACUCAAACUUAUUCCCAAAAAGCUUGAAAGUUUGCAGAAACUGUUCUGACCUCUAUUGAAUUGAAAUGUUGUACAUAAUAGAAAUUUCGGGUUGUCACAAACUAAGAUCAUUAACACGGAUUUUGUGUAACGAAAAACCUCAAUGAUGUAUUCUGAGAGUCUCAAGGGUUACUUUUAUGGAAUUAAAGAUAAUGGAGAAGAAUGUGUGAGAUGGGUAAAGAGCCGAAAGUACCUCUGGUAUAUAUAAGUGACCAAGCAGAAAACACUUAUCUCAAUAUGAGAAGAGUAAGGUAGCUAAUGACAUAAGUGAAUUUAGCAGCUUGAUUGGGAAGAGACGAUUGGUAUGAAUCGAAUCAGUAAGGCUUCACUACAGAGUCAUUGAGGCUUUGGACAACAUGCAAGAACAUGCUUCUAGAGACACUUAGCUAGUAGACAGAGUAAACGUAUAUACCUUCCCCAUGAUUCAUUGUUGAGACUUGCAGCCAUUGUGUUAGAAUGCACUUGAAAUAAAUAAGAGAAAUAAAAAUAGAAAAGAAAAAUAUUUUUUAAAUUUUAAAUUUUCUGAAAAAGAAAUAAAAACAGAAAGGAAAAUAUUUUUGUAAUUUUGAAAUUGUAAAUUUUCUGAAAAAGAAAUAAAAAUAGAAAAGAAAUUAGACAAAAAGUAUACAUCAAGUUUCAACCAAAAAUUCACCUUUGAUGGAUGAAGCGAAAUAUAUAGAGCGUUCGGCAUAAUUCGAUGCCCAAAAAAAUCAGAACCGAAAUGGACCGAUCCUUCGCCCUAUUUUGCCUGUUAAAAAUUGAAGAGGUGAAAGCGAUGGAUGUACUUAAGGAAGCCAAGAUGGUUUCGGUACAGAUUUAGAUUCCAUCAUUCCCGGCCUUGGAGUAUUCUAUUGAAGGUUGUUUCUGGCGAGGCUUUCGUGAAUAUGUCAGCCAAUUGAUCAACGGAUCGAAUGAAGCGAACUUCAACAUUAUCAUCUGCUACGUGAUCCUUGAUAAAGUGAUAUCGCAGUGCAAUGUGUUUCGUCUUGUAAUGCUGCAUUGGGUUGUGACAUAUAUGGAUCGUGCUUUCUGAGUCACAUUAAAGAGGAGUCUUCUUCAUAUUUAGUUCUUAAUCUCUUAGUUGGCUUUGUAUCUUGACGACCUAUGAAGUGCUAGAUGUUGCGGCUAUAUAUUCAGCUUUGGCAGUUGAUAGGGAUAGACACGUUUGUUUCUUGGACUGCUAAUUGAUUAGUUUACCAUCAAGAAACUGACAACCUCCAGUUGUGCUCUUUCGGUCUAGACCACAUCUUCCAAGAUCGACAUUGGAGAACGCUUGAAUAAAGAAGCCUAAUUUAGCCGGAUAUCAAAUUCAGAGAGACGAGGUUCGCUUCAAGUAUCAGAGGAUGUUCUUAACAGCCACCAUGUGAGGUUCACGUGGAUUGGCUUGGAACCUAGCACAAUAGCAAACGGAAAAGAUGAUAUUUGGUCUACUAGCUUUAAGAUACAUUAGUGACCCUAUCAUUUUCCGAUAGAGAGUCAUAUCAGCAGCCAGAUUUCCAGAGAUGGAGUUAGCUUUGUUCUGAAUGGCAUUGGAAUCUUAACUUUUGAUUCUUCCAUCAUGCCAAAAUUUUCCAACAAGGUCUUUGUGUAAGCUUCCUGAUUGAUAAAAAUAACUUUUGGUCCGUGUCUUCUGUUCAGGCCAAGAAAAAAGUUAAUUGGACCCAUUGAGCUCAUCUCAAAUUUAUUCUCCAUCAUUUUUCAGAAAUCAACUGUUAAGCUGGGAUUCGUGGAACCGAAGACGAUAUCAUCGAUGUAAAUUUGGACUAUCAUAAGGUGAUGACCUUCUUUUUUGCGAAAGAAGGUUGGGUCAACCGAACCUUGUUUGAAUUUAGACAUUUUGAGAAAGCAAGGUUUCAUACCAGGUUCUAGGAGCUUGCUUUAGAAUGUAAACCGCCUUGUCCAGAAUGUAGCAAUGAUCAGGAUAUUUCUCAUUCACGAAGCCCGAUGGUUGUUCAACAUAUACGACUUCUUCUAUCUCCCCAUUUAGGAAAGCACACUUGACAUCCAUUUGAAAAACCUCAAAAUUCUUAUGUGAAGUGUACGCUAGAAAGAUCCGUAUUGAUUCUAACAUUUGUACCGGAGCAAAGGUUUCUUCAUAAUCGAUCCCUUCUUCCUGGCAAUAUCCUUUCACCACAAGUCUUGCUUUGUUCCUUACGAUGUUACCUUCUUUAUCCAUCUUGUUACGAAACACCCAUUUUAAACCUACCACAGAUGCAUUAGGUGGUGUGGGAAUCAAUCUCCAAACCUUGUUUCUUUGAACUCAUUAAGUUAUCUUGUAUGGCCUGAACCCAGUUAGAUUGAUCAAGGGUAGUGGUAAUUGUUUUCGGUUAUAUCUUGGAGACGAACGAAUUAAACAUGCAAUAUUCUACUUGAGAGAAUAAAGCAGUUCUCUUCGCUUUAACUUGAGAGCGUGUAAGGACUCCAUCAGAUCAUUCACCAUCACUUGUGAUUUCGGAUGAUCUCUUGUCCAUUUAGUAAGUGGAGGGUAAUUUGGAUCGUACGUAGGAUCCAGUUCAUCAUUCACUUCUUCAUCAAACUCUAAUUGAUUGUCAUCGGCAUUCGCAUUCGUAUUAUGAUUCUCCGCCUCGAAAGAUGAUAUGGUCUUAGUAAUAGGGUCAGAAGGCUCUCCUUCGAAUGGAUUCUUGUUGUUCAUAGUUAGAGAUGGGUUCUCCCCCUGGAAAGAUGAAGCGGAUUCAUCUGCUGAAGACGAACCCUCCCCCUGCAAUGGAGUGCUUUCAUUUGGAGGUUCGCUUGAGCUUGAAGGUUCGCUUUCCAUUUCUUUUGCAGCAUCAUCGAUUAUCUUCUUUAGAUUAUCAAUUUUGUUAUCAGCUACCAUCGCUUCAGAGUUGAUGGCUUUUUCUGGUUCAUUAAAGAGCGUUAUGUACUCUUGAAACAGAUUGGAUACCGGUAUGGCGACUUGAACUGUCUUAGGAAAGAUUUCCUCCAUUGGAUCUUCCCUUGAUUGAAUUUUCUUCAUGUAAGUGUCAUCAAGCGUGACAUAAUAGGUUUCUCCUAUCUUUUUCGAUCUUGUAUUGAGAACCCUAUAUGCCUUGGAGGUUAGAGAGUACCCCAAGAAAAUCCCUUCAUCAGAAUUCACAUCAAACUUAUUUGGGUUCUCUUUGGAAUUGAAGAUGAAAUAUCUAGAACUAAAUAAUUGAAAAAACUUGACAUUAGGUUUGCGAUUCUUAAGAAUUUCAUAUGGAGUAAUAGAAAAUUGCUUACUGAGAAAGGAUCGGUUCUGAGUAUAGCAAGCGGCGACAAUUGCAUCGGCCUAGAAAUACAUAGGAAGAAAAGCGAAGCUAAAUAUGGUUAGAGCAGCCUCAAACCACAAAUGAUUUUGCCUUUCCACUACCCCAUUAUGUUGUGGACAAUAAGGAGCAACGAAGUUGUGUGUGACUCCAUUUCUGGCUAGAAAUUCUUCGAAAUCUUGGUUCUUGAAUUCCUACCUGUUGUCGCUUCUUAUAUUUCUUACCACCUUUCUUAGUUGAAGCUCUACUUGUUCUAUAAAGAUCUUGAGUUUAGGAGUCGCCUCUGAUUUCUGGUUAAGAAAAUAUACCCAACUGAAUCGUGAAAAAUCAACGAUAAUAACAGGUAUGUACUUACUACCACCGUCACUUUCAAUAGCCGACGGCUCACAAAGAUCGAUGUGUAGCAGUUUAAGAGGUUCAAUAAUUUUUGUGUUCACAAGAGUUGGAUGACUCUUCCUAUUUUGCUUCCCCAUUUCACAUGUAGCACAUAGAUGAUCGUUAUCAAACUUCAUGAGGGGAAGACCUCGCAGAUGAUCACCAAAAACGAGCUUCUUGAUAUCUUUGAAGUUAAGGUGCGAGAGUCUUCUGUGCCAUAACUAGCUAUUGUUAGAAGGAGCCUUUGUUAACAAGUAGACAACAGGUUUUCCUCGUAUCGGAUUUAGAUUUAAUGGAUACAUCUCUCUUUUUCGUUGUGACUUUAGUAGAACCGUUUUCGUUUUCUUCUCUAUGAUCUCUGAUCCUUCAUCAUCAAACGAACCCUUCAGGCCAGUACCCACAACCAAUUGUGAAACACUGAUCAGGUUGUGUUGUAAUCCUUCCACAUAGGCAACUUUACGGAUUGAGAAAUCCCCAUUUUUCAUCAUGCGAUAUCCUUUAAUUGUGGCAUAAGAGUUGUUGCCAUACUUGAUACAUCCACCAUCUUUGAGAGCCCGAAACUCCCUUAGUUCUUCCUUUCUCCCUGUCAUGUGAUGUGAGAAGCCACUAUGAAUAUACCAUUCAUCGUCAAACUGCUCGUCGUGAAUAACCCACAAAAAUUAAGCAGAUUUAGGAACCAAAAGUUGUUUGGGUCCUGGUGAGCCUUUUACAGAGCGUGGAAAAGCAAUAAAAUGAUCAAGCACGAACGUUCGUUUUAUCAAAGUGUUUUCGUUUUUAUUUUUUAUGGUGAAAACUUUGAUUUUGUUAUUCGAUUUGUUUGAAUCACUUUGUUUUUCUGUAUUUUGAUUCUUAACAAACUCUUUCUUAUCCUUCCGAGAGUUAGUGGUUGUUUUUUCAGUCUGAAGUUCAAAUUCUGAGAUGAGCUUCCCCUUCCCUUUAACAUCCUUGAUAGGAGUUUUCUUUGGUUGGGAUUUAAGAUUAUUCGAUUUCUCAGAAAAUCUUUUAGCAACAGAUUGCCUGCGAGCAAAACUACCCUUUUGUUUAUGUGAAGCACAAGAAUUACAGUGUGAACACUGUUCGGGUUUCGCUUGAGACUGGGACUUCGUCUUUUGGUUGGAAGCCUUUUCUUUUCGUACAUAGUUAGAGUUCUAGGAUUGCCAGAACUGCUUCCGUUUGUUGAUAUUUUUCUCAUAUCUUUUGUUUUGUUGACAUUUCUGCUUAGCCAGUUGCUUGGAAGAUUUGUGAACAUUCAAAUUCGGUUUUGUCUUCCUGGUAUGAGGUUUGGUUCUCAUGGAAUUAGGUUCGCUUGAACCUUUUGAAGAUUCAUGUUGAACAUCCUUGGUACCACUUGUCUUGGCUUUAUCAAACUUUGAAGGUUUAUUUAGUGGUUCAACAACGUAUCUAUUUUUUAUUCUCCAUGAUGGUCAUUCGGACAAGCCUUUUCUUUCAUCGACAUUGUCGAUUGGGGCUGACCAAAAAUUAUUCUCACACCCAUCAACAUUAUCUUCAUCUACGAGAGUUGUUAAUUCAAUUGUAUGUUCCUUAGUUACUCCAGCAGUAGUGUACACCUGAUUUGGUACCGUUUGUACCUUUUGGUAUACAAUAGCCUUUUGCUUCAAGACUUUAACCUUUUCUUUAGACAAGCGAGCGAAGUCAAUAUAAUUAUCGGAUAUAAGGACUUUUGGUUCAGGUUCGGUAUUAAUAAAUUCAGAACAAUCAACCUCAUCCUCUAUAGAUAUUUCACUUAUGUCAAUUUCCUGAUCAAAUUCAGAUGUAUUUUCAGCGUUGAUCUUGUUAUAUGAACUCAACUUAGAACUCAAUGAGUCAAAUUUCUGCACAGUUUCGGUCUUUAUUUUCAAUUUAUCAUUUUCAUCCAGUAAGUUUUUGAGCAUGUCUUUAUGGUUCUUGGACAUAAUAAAUGACUCAAUUUUUAUCAGUCCAAUUCUAUGGGCUUCAAACGUUUCUUCAGUCGAGACAAUUGAUUCACAAUUACAACAAUCAACAUCUAUUUCGUCUUCCUUUAAUUAAAGGAUAGGCAAAAUCAUUUUGUGAAUUUUGUUACCUAUUUCACAAUCUAAAUGCAACCGAGUAAUGUUGGAAUAAAGAUGUUUAGAAAUUAAGCAAAAAAUAUUCCUUUGUUUCAAAAACUUUAAAUUGUCACAUUCCAAAUAAACCAAUUCGUCUCUAACCCUAACCAACUCUAAUUCCUUAUUCUCUAUGCAUAUCCUUUGCUCUUCACUCUUGGAAGGCACCCUGCUGAUUUGAUCAAUUAGGUUAGAAUUCGUGAGGCGUGUUUGUUUUAGGCUACCACUUAAAUUCGAAAAGGUGAAUUUUCAAUCAUUUAAAUCUCUUUCAUAGAUAGAAAUAGGUAUUUUGAGAGAUUCAAGGAUGUAAUUUACCUUCUUGAUCAACUGAUCACAUUCGUUGAUCUGUUCUCCAUCUGGUUUUGCAGUAAAGCUUUUAUCUUCCCUUUUGAUGAGCUGAAAUCUCAGAUCGAUUAGAUCUUCAACAGGUUAAUCAGUAAAGAAAACAAAUAAACACUAUAAACACAAGAUCGAAUCAAAGUAAUGCUUAAUGAUUUAGAAGUAGUCACGCCUCAACAGAGCUCAACAAAGAACUUCCACUGUAUAGGCGAGCUAGGGUUUGUAGUUCAAUUAUUAUGAAUAAUAACGAAAGUUAUGAUAACUAAGGAUGCAUGCAUGCAUCUUAAAUACUAAACCCUAAUGAAAUAGUCAUGGUUGGACAGGCCCAAACCGGAUAACAAAACUGGGCUAAGGACCGAGCCCAAGACGCAACACUUCUAGACCCAACAAUCUCCUCCUUUGCCUCAAUAUGGGGCGAGACUUCACUUUGGUAGAGGUUGAGCAGUUCACUUCACAACCUUGAACAGCCAUGGAAUAAUGGCAAGAAGAGUCUGUUUGAAAGCCAUAUACCACCGGAGCAUUUAUUAGAAUAGUUUCUUUUGAGCCUCACUAUUUUGAUCGUACCCAUGAACAAGCUCCAGAAUGUGCUCCAAGCAGGCAGUAGAGAAUAGAUGUUUGUCAGCCAAAGCAAAUAGGAACCUAUGACCUUCGGCUAUAAGAAACAAGAUAGUGUGAGACUGUGGAUCAAUCUCUCUCUUUACCAUUAUCAUAGUGUCCCUUGCCUUCCCAAUUAGCUUGAUAGUGGGUCUCUUACGAAUAGCAGCAACAACCUCCUGGUCCAUCUUUGCCGCUUCAUGAAUGUAACACACUAGCAUAUGCUUGAUGUGAUCAAUGAUUGGAUCAUAAUUAUUUUCAUUGGAGAGUGGAAUGUUAAUCAGGAGAAUCCAAUCAUGUGGAUUCAGAUUGGGCAAGUCAGCAAGUGAAAUUGUAUGGGCCGAACCUUAAGAUCCUCGAGUCACCUUGAACUUGACAUUAAUGAACUUGACAACAGCAGGAGGCUUUAGCACCUUGAUAGUUGUACUCUUUUGGUUACUCCAGGUUAGAAACUGAGGCUGAAAGAAUUUAUGAUAAUAUUCCAGCAAGUCCUGAUCAACCUUCGGGUCUGGAGAGGGAAUUGCAACUGUAGGCUCAAAACAGUGAAAGAUGAAAGCCUUGCGAGUGAUUGGCAUAUCAAAUUGAGAACCUUUAGAAUUCUUGACAUUGAAAUAGAGAACAUGCUCUAGCCAGUGUGAACUUGAAGCUUCAAUAUCCUCCUUUUGAAUUCUUUCUAGCAUCCAUAGAGGAAACUUCAACUUUCUCUAAUUGAGUAGAUUCGCCUCUCUCACCUCAUUCUCCUUGUUGAAUGCUUCCGUAACAUUUUUCUUAAUCUCCUGAGCAGACGGCUUGGAUUUGAGAAUAUUCCUUAUAGGAACCGUAUCUUCAAUAUCAUCAACAUUAUCCUCAUCAACUACUUUACCCUUAUCUUGGACACCCGAACCCGAAGCAUCUUUCCCUUUCGGUUUGGCAACCACUUUCGGCUGUUGAGGUUUCAGUGGUUGGGAUGAGUUCUUUACUUGUUCUCCCCCUUGUUGCGGAGGGACAACGGACUCCGGGACACCCUCUAUUCUGCUAAAAAUGUCAAGAGCAGGUCGUAGCUUCUCAGCUAAAUGGCGUCUGACUGUAAUGGUAAGAACCGGAUCGUGGGAUUCAAGAAGAUGGAGAAGAAUGUAGUGAACAUCUCCAACAGAGCCCUCUACCACAGACCGCUCCGAACGCAAAUCAUCAUGUUCCUUGUUCGCUUGAUUUAGCUUCAAAGUCUGGGUUUUAGGUGAGUAGUCUUCAGAGCAAGUUCAUCCAUUGCUCUGCUUUCCAAAGCUAGAUCUGCCUAAAGCUGAUUUAAACGUUCAUUGACCGAAGCUUGAUGUUUGGCUUGACUAGAAGAGAGGUUCUGGCAAAGCACCUCAAAAAGUUCCUUUUCCUUUUGAAGCGAUUUUGUAAGUGUCUGAACAGAGGCAUUAACCUUGUUGGCAUUUUGAGUUGCAGCACCCUGUAAAGAUUCAAGAAAUUUUUUUGCGUUAGAAAUUAGUUUAUCAACUUUUUUGGUCGCCUCAGUGCAAACAUUUUCGUUAAAGCAUCAAUGGCUAAAGUGGCUUUGGAGAUUGAAGCAUCAUGUUCCUUAACCAAUAUGGCCAUCAUGCUUGUAACAGCAGACUCAGAAAGAGAACCCUAAGUAGAGGAGGAAGCCAUAAUUUUGUCCAGCUUCUCAUUCAGCUCCUUAAGAUGGCUUUUGGUGACAGGGGCAUCUUCAUCAUCAUCACUUUGCACCCUGUAAGGAUUGUAGUAGAAUGUAUCAAAAUACAUAUUUUCCUACCAAGGAUAGUAUUGGCUUCAGUGGAUUGGGUAGGAGACAGAGGUUUGGUAGUAGCAUGGGUUUUGGGUGCUGAAGUACGUACCCCCAUAUCAGAUACGUUGGUUUGCACUCCAGUGGUAGUUGUGGUUGUAGCUUCUGAAAAGAUGGGAGUGGAAACAGGAAUGGUGAAUGAGGGUUGAGAUGUAAUGAUAUGGAAAGGGGUGGAAGGGUAGUAGGAAUGAAAAUAGGUGGAGGAGAAGGUGCUUGGAAACGAACGAAUACCUCAGAUGUAGGCGAGCGAGGAGGUGUACCACAUCAAACCACUUCUUCAUCAUCCGAGCUUUCACUCUCAUAUUCACUAGAAAUUUGGGGUUGAUGACGAGAAGGUCCAUACUCAAAGUCUGAGUCGCUGUAAGAUUGAAGAAUAAGCUUUCAAGCAGGUUUCUUGGUCUUCUUCUGCUUGGGCUGUGAAGAAGCAGCCUUCUCUGCCUUUCGCUUGUUUGGGGAUUGAACUUUUGACACUUUAUCUCCUUUUUCUCCCUUUUUGGCUUCUUGCUUCUUGCCCUAUUUUGUAGGUUUAUCUACUUCUUCAAUAGACUUUAACAUUUCUGGGGUGAGAUCCCUUGGACCAGAAGAGGGAAGUUUCUUGUACUCCUAAAUGAGCUUGCAAGUAGGAGACACACAGGCAUACAUUGACUCUGGAAUGGAGCCAACGAAAUGAAAUUUGGAUGGAUGAGUGACAAUGAUGUUUGUAGUAUGGAAUGUGGCAAUAGAGGAGAGCAUAGAAUCUGCCAUAAUGGGAAUGUGAAAACUCUCCAUUAUCGAUUGAGUAACAAUGGUCCAAAACCUGACAUGAGGUUGAUGACAAACUUUGGACAAGUUGAAGCCAACGUACUGAGCCAUAGUCAAGGUUGAUUCCGUGGUACAACCCAUAAACAAUGUUAUGAAAGACUUGCUAGCGCCAUCUGAUCUGACGCGCCUUUUAGAAAGCCCUUUGAAGAGGAGAUUGAACAACCCAUUCCAAUGAGGAGGAAGGCAUCAUUUCUUGAACCUUGUCACAGUAGUUAGGGUUUCAAUGUACCCCAUGUUGUAAAACAUUGUGAAAAGCUGACCAAUUGAGAUUGAAUCAGAAUUCACCAUCGAAGCAUCAUAUGUGAGCCCUAUCAAUGAGCAAAAUAUGUUCUUGGAUACGGAGGCCUUCUGGUUGAGGACAUUAAAAUAAAUCUUGUAUGCAACCUUGUUGUAAGCAGCCGUGGAAUAAAGUUGAGAGAGACAAGACAUUGGGACAACUUCCACCAUCGAUAAAGCUUUGAUAAGUGACGAAUACCUGGGACAUUCAACCACGUUAUAGAUGUACGUAUCGUAGAGGAAUGGUGAGAGGCCCAUCAGCAAGUUCUGGUUUGCCUUGAUGGUGAAAAGAGUGGAACGUGCAGAAGUUUCUUGAAUAGAUGAAGACUUUGCCAUAGUUGAAUCUUGAGGAAGAAGAAGAUGAACAGUGACAAUAGAAUCGUCGGAGAUUACCUUUUUGCUUGAGAGAGAAGAAGUGUGGUAAAGAACAAGAUCACACUACCAAAAACCCUUAUAUACAAUUCUGUGGAGACACAAAAAUCAAGGGUAAUGAUUCCUUUAAUUUGGGAAACGACGCCUAAAAAGGUGUGAUUUGAGAACUGGCAACCCCGAUAAAGCAGCUAAUGACGCAUGCUUAGGUAACUAUUUGAAUUCACGCGCCUUUUCAAUCUUAUCUCCUUUUCAAAUUACAAUCGAUUAAGCACCCUACUGACUCAUCUCUUCAAUCUUUUAAUAAAAUCGUUAUCUCCAUAAAUAACCAAAGGCUUAUUAUAGUUUCAACCCUUCGUUUGAAAAUCAUCGCAUAACUUCGUUUGGAACCGAAGCUAUAUAUUUAUGAAUUGAUUCUUAAUCCAACCAGAUUUUUGGAAAAUCCAAGAUUUUGGUGCAAGAAAGUGUCAAAGAUAAAGAAAUAAAAACAAACUAUUUGUGGGAUUUUGUGAAGUCAUAAAAGACAUAAAGUAGUUGAUCCUGGGCACGAAUCGCUUCCUUUAAAAUCUGAAUAGACUUCAAAGUGCUUGUAUGGGUUCCUGUUAAAUGACGAUCAAGUACUUGUUAAGAAACAUUGAAAGGCAUCUUUUUCUAAAUAAGGCUAUUAAGGGUGGCUUUCGCUUCAAUCCAGGUUUCAGUACUUGACAUAAGACAAAAAGUGGAAUGAAGUACUUGUGAGACCAAUGUGGCCUUUUAAACAAGUAGGUGUGAAUCAUAUUCAGUGACAUGUUGAAAUUAAAUAACUAGAAAUCUUAUUUAAAAAUUAAAAUUGGACCCUUCGGGAAGAAAAGUCUUGGUGAUAGGCAGUUUCAUAAGGAUCUCUCACAAGAAUAGGAGAUUUCAAGGUACAUCCACAAUAGUGGUUUCGUUAAUUCAAGCUGAAAGCUAGAACAUUUAUUUGUUCACUGUCAAUACAUUAUAGGUAUUGAAUUUUUGGUUUCACUUAGCACGUAGUGACACAAAAGUAAGAUCAUAAACACAGAAGUUGUGUAACCAUAAACCUCAGUGGUAGUGNGUUGUGUAACCAUAAACCUCAAUGGUAGUGUUGAGAGUCUCAAGGGUUACAAUUAUGAAAUGAAUGAUUAAUGGAGAAUAAGAUUAACGGUGAUAAAGAACGAAUGUACCUCUGCUAUAAAAUAGGACCAAGCAGGAAAUGUCUUGACUCAUGUUAGAGUAGAGUUAGGUAGCUCAUGAUGAGUGUGCGUUUGUCAGCCUAAUUGGGAAGACAUGAUUAGUGUAUAUCAAGUCAUUAAGGCUUCACUCAACAAAUUUAGAGGCUUGGGUCUACAUACAACAUCAUGCUUCUAGGGACACUUAGCUAUUAUAGAGAUAAAGAAUUAUACUUUUCCCAGCUUCGUCAUUAAGAAAGUUCCUUAUACAUUGGUUAGAUAAAGACUAAAUAAUUUAAAAUAACGAAAAAUAUUUUUGAAUUAUGGUUUGUGUUUUCUGAAAAGAAAUAAAAACAUAAAUGAAAAAUAUUUUUGGAUUUUAAAAGAUUUUCUGAAAAAGAAAUAAAAACAGAAAUAAAAAUAAAAAUUUUGGAUUAUAUGAAAAUAAAAGGAAAAGCAUAAAAUAAAUUAUAAGAAAAGAGUGUAUACAUACUAUACAACUGAAACCGUCACUUGAAAAUUGAGAAGCGAACUGAGUCCAAUAAGACCGAACCCGGAAUGGACCGAGCGUUCGCUCUAUUUCGCUUCCAACUUUUAUUGAGGCGAAAGUGACUUCGGUACAGAUUCAUCUUCCAUCAUUCCUAAGCCUUGUAGGAUUUUAUUAAAACUGGUUUCAUGCAAGGCUUUAGUAAACAUGUCAGCCAAUUGAUCAGUGGUCCUAACAAAAUGAAUUUCCACAUUACCAACCUCCACAUGAUCUUUGAUGAAGUGAUACCUUAGUGCUAUGUGUUUCGUCUUUGAGUAUUGUACCGGGUUAUGACAAAUCCUAAUUUCGCUCCCUGAGUCACAAUAUAGUGGGAUUUUCUUCAUGUUUAGCCCAUAGUCUCGAAGUUGACUUAGUAUCCAAAUGACAUGAGAUGUGUACGAUCCUGCAGCUAUGUAUUCAGCUUUGGCAGUUCAGAGUAAGACACAUGUUUGUUUCUUUGACUGCCAGCUAACCAGUUUGCCAUCCAGAAAUUGGCAUCCUCCUGUGGUACUCUUUCGGUCUAGUCCACAUCCUCCAAGAUCAGCAUCUAAGAAUGCUUGGACAAAGAACCCCGACUUGGUUGGUUAACAUAGGAUGAAUAAAGAGGUUCUCUUUAGGUAUCGAAAGAUAUUCUUCAUAGCUAGUAGGUAAGGUUCACGUGGAUUAGCUUGAAACAUAGCACAAUAGCAAACAGAUAACAUUAUGUCUGUUCGACUUUCUGUUAGAUACAUUAGCGACCCUAUCANAAUGGACCGAGCGUUCGCUCUAUUUCGCUUCCAACUUUUAUUGAGGCGAAAGUGACUUCGGUACAAAUUCAUCUUCCAUCAUUCCUAAGCCUUGUAGGAUUUUAUUAAAACUGGUUUCAUGCAAGGCUUUAGUAAACAUGUCAGCCAAUUGAUCAGUGGUCCUAACAAAAUGAAUUUCCACAUUACCAACCUCCACGUGAUCUUUGAUGAAGUGAUACCUUAGUGCUAUGUGUUUUGUCUUUGAGUGUUGUACUGGGUUAUGACAAAUCCUAAUUGCGCUCCCUGAGUCACAAUAUAGUGGGAUUUUCUUCAUGUUUAGCCCAUAGUCUCGAAGUUGACUUAGUAUUCAAAUGACAUGAGAUGUGUAUGAUCUUGCAGCUAUGUAUUCAGCUUUGGCAGUUCAGAGUAAGACACAUGUUUGUUUCUUUGACUUCCAGCUAACUAGUUUGCCAUCCAGAAAUUGGCAUCCUCCUGUGGUACUCUUUCGGUCUAGUCCACAUCCUCCAAGAUCAGCAUCUAAGAAUGCUUGGACAAAGAACCCCGACUUGGUUGGUUAACAUAGGAUGAAUAAAGAGGUUCUCUUUAGGUAUCGAAAGAUAUUCUUCAUAGCUAGUAGGUAAGGUUCACGUGGAUUAGCUUGAAACAUAGCACAAUAGCAAACAGAUAACAUUAUGUCUGUUCGACUUUCUGUUAGAUACAUUAGCGACCCUAUCAUUUGACGGUAGAGGGUCAUGUCAGGAGUUGGUUUGUCCAGAGAAGGUGUUAACUUUGUGCCAAACGCCAUAGGAACCUUCACUUUUGAAUCUCCCAACAUUCCAAACUUGGCAACCAAGGUCUUCGUGUAACCCUCUUGAUUAAUAGAAAUGCCUUCAGGUCCCUGUCUAAUAUUCAAGCCAAGGAAAAAGUUAAUCGGACCCAUUGAACUCAUUUCAAAUUUAGUCUCCAUUAACUUCCUAAAUUCAGCAGUUAAGCUAGGCUUUGUGGAGCCGAAGAUGAUAUCAUCGACGUAAAUUUGAAGUAUAAUAAGAUGGUCACCAUCUUUCUUUCGAAAGAAGGUUGGGUCAACUGAACCUUAUUUAAACUUGGACAUUUUAAGAAAUCUAGUUAGAGUUUCAUACCAUACCCUCGGUGCUUGCUUGAGACCAUAGACUGUCUUGUCCAGAAUGUAGCAGUGACCUAGAUACUUCUCGUUCACGAAACCCGGUGGUUUCUCUACGUACACCGUCUCUUCUAGUUCUCCAUUUAAGAAGGCACGCUUCACAUCCAUUUGGUAUACUUCAAAGUUCUUGUGUGCAACAUAUGCAAGAAAAAUACGAACUGAUUCCAGCCUUGCUACGGGAGCGAAGGUCUUUUCGUAAUCAAUGCCUUCUUCUUGACAAUAACCUUUCACAACUAAUCUUGCUUUGUUGUGAAUUACAUUUCCUUCCUUGUCUAUAUUGUUCCUGAAAACCCACUUAAGUCCAACCACAGAAGCAUCCUUUGGUGUUGGAAUCAGUCUCUACACUUUGUUUCACUCGAACUCAUUGAGUUCGUCGUGCAUGGCCUGUACCCGACAGAAUGAUUGAGUGCAGUGUUCAUCGUCUUCGAUUCAACCUUGGAGACGGACGAAUUAAACAUGCAAAAUUCCACUUUAGAGAAUAGUGCAAUUUGUUUCACUUUCAGUUGAGAACGUGUGAGAACUUUUUUUGAUGGUUUACCAAUAAUUUGUGUUUGAGGAUGAUCUUUGGCCCAUUUGGUGAGUGGUGGGUAAUUAGGAUCAUACGAGGGAUCCAGUUGGCAUUACUCUGAAUGGGUAACUCACCUUUCUUGGAGUUAUGCAUGUUGAAUCUUUUCAGCACCUUAUCCAAGUAGGUACUCUGACUAAGUCCAAUUAGUCUUUUACUCCUGUCUCUCAAAAUCCUUAUCCCUAGGAUAUAGGCAGCUUCACCAAGGUCCUUCAUAGCGAAACACUUCCCAAGCCAGGACUUUACUUCCUGCAGGGUUGGGAUGUCAUUUCCUAUGAGUAGUAUGUCAUCCACAUACAGUACCAAAAAGCUGACUAUGCUCCCACUAGCCUUGAUAUAGACACAAGAUUCAUCUUCACUCCUUGAAAAGCCAAAUUCCUUGACCUUCUCAUCAAAGCAAAGAUUCCAUCUGCGAGGUGCCUGUUUCAAUCCAUAAAUGGAUUUCUCGAGUUUACACACUCUAUUGGGGUACUCUGUACUGACAAAACCCUCUGGCUGAACCAUGUAAACAUCCUCAGCCAACUUUCCAUUAAGGAAAGCAGUUUUGACAUCCAUUUGCCAUAUUUCAUAGUCAUGAAAUGCAGCAAUGGCUAACAGAACCCUAAUAGACUUUAUCUUGGCCACUGGUGAAAAGGUUUCAUCAUAAUCAACUCCCAGAGUUUGAGAAUAACCUUUUGCAACCAGUCGUGCCUUAUAAGUGUGUACAUUACCAUCCAUGUCGGUCUUCUUCUUGAAGAUCCAUUUGCACCCCACUGUCUUACGACCUGGUACAUUUUCAACCAAGUUCCAAACUUGAUUGUCAUACAUGGAUUGUAUCUCGCUAUCCAUUGCCUCUUUCCACUUGGCAGCCUCAGGGCCUGCCAUGGCUUCCGUGUAGCUGUUAGGUUCAUCCAGACCUACUAGUGUCUCAUCACUAAUAAGUGUCUCACCUUCCGCAGUAAUAUGGAAACCAUAGUAAUGCUCAGGUGCAUUCCUAACUCUCGUGGAACGCCUCAGAGGUACAGGCUCAUCAACUGGCUCAACAGGAGUUUCCUCCUCAAGUUGAGGGCUAGUGUUUGAAGUUCCUUCACCGCUUGACUCUUGAAUUUCUUCAAGAUCAAUUUGCCUCCCACUGUCCCCUUGGCUUAUAAAUUCUCUCUCUCGAAAAACUCCUCUUCUUGCUACAAAGACCACAUUAUCACUAGGUCUGUAGAAGAGGUAACCAAAGGAUUGUUGUGGGUAGCCGAUGAAAAUACACCUCUCGCUUCGAGGUUCGAGCUUAUCAUGAGUCUCGCGUCUCACGAAAGCCUCACAACCCCAAAUCUUGAUGUGGUCUAGCUUAGGUACUUUGCCAGUCCACAUCUCGUGAGGAGUUUUGGCAACUUUCUUUGUAGGGACAAGAUUAAGAAUAUGGGCGGCAGUCUCUAAGGCAUACCCCCAGAAUGAGAUUGGUAGCGUAGCUCGACUCAUCAUGGAACGAACCAUAUCCAACAAGGUUCGAUUACGCCUCUCAGCCACACCAUUCAACUGUGGUGUCCUGGGAGGUGUCAAUUGUGAGACAAUCCCACAUUCCCUAAGAUAGUCGAGGAACUCUGAACUAAGAUACUCACCUCCUCGAUCGGAUCGAAGCAUCUUAAUGUUCCUGCCCAAUUGAUUCUCGACUUCCUGUUUAAAUUCCUUAAACCUCUCGAAAGUCUCUGACUUAUGCUUGAUUAAGUAGACAUAUCCAUAUCUACUGUAAUCAUCAGUAAAAGUCAAAUAAUAACGAUUAGCAUCCCUUGUGGCAUGUUUGAAUGGUCCACACACAUCCGUGUGUAUAAGGUCCAACAAACCUUCACCCCUCUCACACGAGCCUGUGAAGGGUGACUUUGUCAUUUUUCCAAGUAAGCAUGAUUCGCAACUAUCAUCUGACUUUAGGUCAAACGACUCCAAGACUCCAUCCUUUUGGAGUUGGCCUAUGCGUUUCUUGCUUAUAUGUCCAAGACGACAAUGCCAUAAUGAUGCUUUAUCCAAGUUAUUAUUAUUAGUAGAAUCAAUACACAAAACAUUAUUUCCUAAGUUAUCUACAACAGAUACAGCUUCAUACACACCAUCACAAGGUAAUGCUUUAAAAUAAAAAACAUUAUUAUAGAAAACAUCUAUAGAACCAACUUCAUUAUUAAAUGAAAAGGUAAACCCUUGUUUGUACAAAGCAUGAAAGGAAAUAAUAUUUCUUGCCAUUCCUGGCGAAUAACAACACUUAUUCAAAUCUAAACUAAACCCACUACUUAGCGAUAAAGUAUAAACUCCAAUCUUGGUAACAGGUAUAGCUUUCCUAUUCCCCAUGAUCAAGUUUAUCCUUCCUUGCUCCACAUCCUCACUUCUUCUUAGUCCCUGCAAGUCACAACAAAUGUGAAUACCACAACCGGUAUCAAGGACCCAAGAAUUAGAAUGGGGUGAGUUAUUAGAAAUGAUAGUGUAAAUACCUGCAUGGUUGGGUUUAACUUUCCCAUCCUUCACAUCUUGCUGGUAUUUUGGGCAGUUCCGCUUCCAAUGAGCUUUUUCAUGGCAAUAGAAGCAUUCAGCCUCUUUUGGGUCAGAAGAAGGAGUAACGAAACCUUUCUUGGUUCCACUUGAAGAAGAGCCAUCAAGGGUCCGAGCCUUGGUACCCUUAGAAGAGCUCUUUCUCUUCCUCCCUCGACUUUUCCCGAUUGCCAAAACCGGAGUAGAGUUUUGAGUAGGAGUGAUAGCAACCGACUUCCCCUUAAGACCUGUUUCUGCGGUCUUGAGAAGUCCCUGAAGUUUGCUGAGGGUGACUUCUUCCUUGUUCAUGUGAUAUGUCAUGCGGAAUUGAUCAUAGCACGAUGGUAAGGAAUGCAAAAUAAUAUCUAUUGCAAGAUCCUCCGGGAAGUUCACAUUAAGCUUCAGCAAACGAUCCACAUACCUUUGCAUUUUCUGCAUGUGGCUCGUGACGGAUUCCCCGUCCUUCAUCAUGGUUGUUAUCAUGGAGCAGAUGAUUUCAUACCUCUCUUGUCUUGCACUUUGAUGGUAUCUUUCCAUCAAAUCUUGGUGCAUGUCAUAAGGGUAGAAAUCCUCAUAAGACUUUUGGAGUUCCGCUGUCAUCGUGGCCAUCAUGAUGCAAGCCACUUUCGUAGCAUCCCUUUCAUGUGCCCGAAAUUCAGCGAUCUCCUGAGGAGUUGCAGUGGACUCAUCAAUCUCCUUAAGCUCCUUGUCAAGGACAUAUUCUUUGUCCUCGUAGCGGGUAAUCAUCCUGAUGUUUCUGAUCCACUCAUUGAAGUUGGAUCCAUCAAAGGUGACUUUCCCACACAAGUUCAUAAGGGUAAAGGAGCCAUUAGGAUUAGAGCCAGAAGCAUUGUUGAAAGACAUCUGAAGGAAAGAGGACAAGAUUAGUUUAGAUAUAAGAGAGUCCUUAAUAAAACACCCAAAUGUAAUAUUAAGGCUAGGAUCCAAUCACAAUAUAAUAUAACUUAGAAGAGGUAUGCCGUAAUCUAAGCUAUAUCAUAUUUGAAAGGUAGGUGAAUGACGAUUCACCAAUUUCCACCACGAAAACCGCAAUAUUUUAGUAUUAGGUUUUUGAAUGGUUCUUAGAAAUUCCUAGAUUCUUUGAGAUUCAAUGAACUUUUCAAAGGCAUGUUUCAAUCUCGAGUGUGCCCUCCAAGUUUUGUGACUGGGAUACCGAGGAUCACAAAACGAGGUGUGAAGUAACCAUGCAAAUCACUUGGUACCCUUAAAGUUUAUCACUCAAUCGAUGUGCCGGUUAACCACACACGCUCCAUCGAUACUAUAAUAAACCCUAAGUCACCCUUUACCUACCUUGUUAAGUCCAAGUUAGUGUGCCGGUUAACCACACACGCUCCACCAACGACUUAAUCAAAGUGUAAAGUGUAAUUUCAUGGAAUAGCACCUUAUUCACAUUUUUCCUAAAGUAACUAAGAUUGGGAAUUUAAUAAAACAUUUAGUUACUUUAUAAUAUUCAUCAUACUUUGAAUGAGAAUUAAUAAGUCCUUGUCUUACCCGUUCGGCUAACGACCCUCCACCGAUCAAGCAAGCGGUGGGUGAGAGUGGACACCCAUUAAGUCACCAUUUUAUAGGCAACAACCUUAUACCCACCUUAUAGACCGGCUUCGUGAAUGAGGCGUACUAGCGGUAAGACGACUUUGUUCUUAUACAUAUAUAUAUAAUUAUUAAAUCAUAAUAAUAUAAGUAUAAGGGUUGAAUUUUAACUUUUAAAAUUCUAGGGGUUGGAACUAAAGUUUUAACUUAACUUUACUUGUUCCAAAACUUGAGGGCAAGUUUUGUAAACUUUCAAAACUUUUCAUUUCUUGUAACUUAUGAGUUUAAUAGAGUAAUAAAAUGAGGACUUUUCAUUUUUCCUAACUCUUGUGUUCUUUUAAUGGUUUUUAAUCCAAGAGACUUUUGGUUUUCCAUAACUUGAGGACAAGUUAUGGACUCCAUUAAAACACAUUAUGAUCAUGAAUUAAUCUACCACAUAGGUUACAAAUAAUUCCUAUGAUCAUCUAAACAUCAUAAGAACAAGAAUAUGAAUAUGAACACUUUCAAGAAUCAAAAUCACAUUUAAUCUUUGUAAUUUUGAUAACUAGUUGUUGUAAAUGAGUUAGAAAAGACAUUACACCUUCUAAAAUAAGUUUUCAAGUACCAAAACAUUUUAGGGUAAUGAUUCUAAUCCAUUUCCAGCAACUCAAGUCGAAAUUCUGCACUCUGUCGACCCUACUCGCCGAGUGCAUAAACCUACUCGCCGAGUAGGUUGAAGAUACACAUGAACUCGACGAGUCCUCCCCAUGGACUCGCCGA